CCUCAGUAACAGUCAUGUUGUGGGGGUUUGUUGCCCUCAGUAACAGUCAUGUUGUGGGGGGUUGUUGCCCUCAGUAACAGUCAUGUUGUGGGGGGUUGUUGCCCUCGGUAACAGUCAUGUUGUUGCCCUUGGUAACAGUCAUUUGUGGGGGGUUGUUGCCCUCGGUAACAGUCAUGUUGUGGGGGGUUGUUGCCCUCGGGUACAGUCAUGUUGUUGUGGGGGGCUGUUGCCCUCGGUAAUGUUGAUCAUGAUCAUUGUGCUCUAAACGCAGGUGAGGAAGGUGAUUCUACAAAUCAUGAAGCUAAAUGACAGGACAGGGCGUCUGUUUUACAUGUAGUCAUAUUUGUUUCGGGGGGGGCGCUGUUUGCUCAAGUAUGAAGCUUUAAUGAAGUGAUUUGUUUCAUCCUGACUGAGCCCUGAGAGUAGAGAUGAUUCUGCUAGACAGCGUCAGAACAGACCAGUACUGUAGCUGGAGCGGGGGAGAGAGCAGUUCAUUCACGACCACACUGACAACUGAAAAUUCACAAAACAAUGAAUUUAGUAUUUAGCAGCCAUUUGCAAAAUGUAUAAAAAUGCAGGAAACUAGCUCCAUGGCUGGAAUGUACUUUAAAAACGGCAACAUUUUCUCUCAGCUGCAUGGCAUAAUGUGUACAUUUGCAGGAAAUUAGCUUUAAAACUGAAAAAAAAUAAAAUUGACAGCUGCUGUUGUCAGUUGUGUGUUCAGUAGAGCAGUGAUGUAGGAUGUAGGCCUACAGUAGAACCUGCAUAAGAGAGAGAGAGAGAGAGAGAGAGAGAGAGAGAAGAGAGGAGAGAGACGAGAGAGAGAGAGAGAGAGAGAGAGAGAGAGAGAGAGAGAGAGAGAGAGAGAGAGAGAGAGAGAGAGAGAGAGAGAGAGAGAGAGAGAGAGAGAGAGAGAGAGAGAGAGAGAGAGAGAUAGCGAGAGAGAGAAGAGAGAGAAGAGAGAGAGAGAGAGAGGAGGAACGAAGAGAGAGAGAGAAGAGAAGAGAGAGAGAGAGAAAGAAAGUAUGGGAGAGAGGAGAGAGAGAGAGAGAGAGAGAGAGAGAGAGAGGAGGAGAGAGAGGAAGUUCUGAGGCAUGAGCAGAGCUGAGCUGGGAGGGCGUGCGUACCACCAUGCCAGACAUGAUGCAGAUGGAGCCUUUCUUUUAAUCAGAGAGUCAGAGCUCACACAGCGCUAGCAAGGACAUGAAGAAUUCAACGGCUUUAUGGCCACUGUCUGAUGACUAUAUGGCUUCUUUAAAUCCACAUUUAUUCAGGGGGAAGUUGUCUACUGUACCACUGGGUUUCUCUGCCAUACUAUAGCCUAUGUAAUGAGUCUCUGUUGUCGUGCCAUUUCAUGCCAUGAUGAUCCUUCCCUCUCACUGACU
rnacentral:lncRNA from 1 species